CCUUUGUGGCCCCUUUAUACCUCCAGAACAGCCUGAAGGGACUGCAGCACUACAGGGAACUGGACUCAUGGUUUGUUUAAGUUGCUCCUGUCGAAAGAUAGGAAAGACAGACUGGGUAAUUCUUUGGCAAUCACCAUACACCUAACCAUUUCUUCAGACCUAAUUUCAAUGCUCUUUCUUUCCUUGUAUUGUGUGUAUAUUUACUAUAAUCCAAACAUAUUUGCUAUGUUCUUCAUCAUUUGAGUGUUAGAAGUCUGGCAGCUGCACCUUCCACCCUGCCUGCAAUGGCAGCAUUGCUGAAAACAAUUCAGGUCAGGAAAUUGGAACUCUGGCCUUCUCCGCUGACAGUCUGAGAUCCUACCAACCAUAUGUAAUGAACAUUCAGCUCAGGUUUUGAAACAUAUUGGACUGCUAAAAUCAACAAAAAGCUGGCAGAGAAUGUACUUUGAGGUUAUUUUUAGAUUGACUCUGAGUGGACUUUUGACACCUAUUCAGCAGUGUGCCUUGGCACGCAACAAACUGGCUUAUGAAAACGCUGAAAACAUUUAGACAGCAACUACUUCGUUUGCUAAGAUCAGGAUGAGACCUAAUGCGGAGGUGAAGAUUAUCCCAUAUCUGCUGACUGUGGGGUUCCUGCAUCUUCCUCAAAAACUUCUGGCACUGGCCACUCUCAGAGACAGGAUAUUGGACUAAAUGGACCUUGGGUCUGGUCAGACAUGGGCUUCUAGAACAUGGGAUUUUUCUGGGACAGCUACAGUGAAGCAGCAUAGAGUUGAAAGACUGUCCUUCAUCUCCUACUUCCAGAUGCUUUAUAGAUCGAGUCUUGCAAUAAGAUAUAUUUAAAGAAGAGCAUGUCCCCACCUGUAUAUAAAAAGGAGGUGAUGGAGUGGUUUUGUUGGAGUGAUGAUGAUGUAAACUCAGGAAGAUGUUGUUAAUGUGUACUAGAACAUUAUGUGCCUUGUCUAUUGGUUGUAUUUUAUUUAGGGUGCUUAAUACAGGACACCUGGGAAAAUUACUCAUAUUCAAGCGAGUUCAACAGCAAUCAAUCAGAACUAUCC